rnacentral:rRNA from 1 species
AGUGAACGCUGGCGGUAGGCCUAACACAUGCAAGUCGAACGGCAGCCCAGUAAGAGUUUGCUCCUACGGGUGGCGAGUGGCGGCCGGGUGAGGGAUACAUCGGAAUCUACUUUUUCGUGGGGGAUAACGUAGGGAAACUUACGCUAAUGCCGCAUAUGACCUACGGGUGACAGCAGGGGAUCCUCGGACCUUGCGCGAUAGAAUGAGCCGAUGUCGGAUUAGCUAGUUGGCGGGGUAAAGGCCCACCAAGGCGACGAUCCGUAGCUGGUCUGAGAGGAUGAUCAGCCACACUGGAACUGAGACACGGUCCAGACUCCUACGGGAGGCAGCAGUGGGGAAUAUUGGACAAUGGGCGCAAGCCUGAUCCAGCCAUACCGCGUGGGUGAAGAAGGCCUUCGGGUUGUAAAGCCCUUUUGUUGGGAAAGAAAAGCAGCAGGUUAAUACCCCGCUGUUCUGACGGUACCCAAAGAAUAAGCACCGGCUAACUUCGUG